UGCACUCAGCUUCAGGUCUGGGAACUGAUUCGUCAAAGCCUCAGUCAUCCCAGGCAUUGACAUCAUCAGACCAAGCUGGUCCGUGGACAUCACCUCGCAAUCCUGUGGGGUGUCCUUGAUCUUGCUCGGAUCAUAACCGAAGUUGGCAGCGUAGGACUUGUACUUCUCGAUGAAUUCUGGUCCAGGAUUAGGUGUUCUUGAGUAUAUCUGAUGCAUUGCCGAGAGACGACACAAUGUUAUGAUAUUUCAGUUUACAAAAUGCGUCAGAAUAGGCAUAUGAAGAAUAAGCAUGCAGAGGGCUAAGAAAUAGUGGUCAUUUGCAGUUCAGAGAUCAGUUUCUGACCUGGAUAAAGCUUGUGUCUUUAGCACCAGACACAACGGCGUAAUUGUCAUAAUCGGUUGCAAGCACAUCAUAAGGUUCCUUGGGUAUGAAUGGUAGUGUGGGGAAACGGAGAAAGCAUUUCCCCUUGAUCAUCUCCUGCCUUUCAAGAUCUGUCUCAGCACUCGCCAUGUCCUCUUCGGACAGGCAUUGCACCCUUC